AGAACGAACGCUGGCGGCAUGCCUAAUACAUGCAAGUCGAACGAACACUUCGGUGUUAGUGGCGCACGGGUGCGUAACGCGUGGGAAUCUGCCCUUGGGUUCGGAAUAACAGUUGGAAACGACUGCUAAUACCGGAUGAUGACGAAAGUCCAAAGAUUUAUCGCCCAGGGAUGAGCCCGCGUAGGAUUAGCUAGUUGGUGAGGUAAAGGCUCACCAAGGCGACGAUCCUUAGCUGGUCUGAGAGGAUGAUCAGCCACACGUGGGACUGAGACACGGCCCAGACCUCCGUACGGGAGCAGCAGGUAGGGAAUAGUUAGGAACAAGUGGGACGACGAAAGCCUAGACUCCGAAGCAAUGCCCGU
rnacentral:rRNA from 1 species